CAAUUUCUGGGGUCAGGUGCUCUCACUAGCAAGAUGGCCCCUGCAAUGGAGGACAGGAGGGAGGCUGCAGUGCCGCAGGCACUGUGUUCACUGGGGUCGGGUGCUCUCACUAGCAAGAUGGCCCCUGGAAUGGAGGACAGCUACUCACUUUCCCACUUGUUUGUUGGAGCCCACUUGGCACAGCCAUGCUCGGCUGGCUGCUGGGAGUCACCCUCCUUGAACCUCCCCAGACCCCAACUCAGCAGCAGACCAAGGGCAGCCUUGAGCAUUAAGGGGGGUUUCAGAGGGAAAGAAGGAAGCGUGAUGGUUGUGGGUACCCACAAAAAUAGCCCACAUCCAGCAUUCCAAUUUGGGGAAAAAGGUAUGUGUGCACGUGCACACACAUUUUAUACAAAGGACUUUAGAAGGAUUUCUGAAUAGCAUCCCUUGAGUGCAGCUCAUGAUUCUCUCUUGUUACUCAAGGUCACGAGGGAUAUGUGGGAUGUCCAGAUCCCUGAACUCCAGAGGCCAGGCAAGCAUCUAGGCCUCUGGCAUGACCACUGGGGAAGUGCCCUGAGGAAGCACCUGCUUACUCUUGCCGCCAUAUGCCUCCAAACUCAGAGGAAUCUGUAACUCCAGUGCAUAGAAAUGGAGAGUUUAAUCCAUGGGGAACACUCUGGAAUGCUGAGGAAAAAAAAAUAAGCAAGAGUCAGGAAACCAGCUCCUAUAAGACGAUCGUCUGGCUUUACGUGUGUCCUACCAUCUUGGAGGAAUCAAAGACCACAUCACUGGGGACUGGUACCCCUGGAGCUAUCCACACCUAGGCUGGCCCAGCCGGGCAGACCAAUGGACAGCUUCUGACACAGAGACACCCUCGGACACCAGAGCCUUGAAUCUUCCUUUGCACCCAAAAGGGCGCUGUAUUCCACAAACCAGAUUACAACGAUGCCUUCGACUUCCCCACUUGGCCAUGUAAUGUGAUGGUUGGGAAUGUCGAGUCCACAUCAAGAAGGGCCCUGGAUUCAAGCCCUGCUUCUGCUCAUUCUUAGUCGUAAGACAUUCUUUCCAAACUUCAGUUUCUUCAUUUGUAAAAUGGGGGUUAAUGACACAUAUCUCUAAGUAUUUGUUGAACGGAUUAAAUAACAUCAUUUAUGAAAAUGAUUAGCAAACACGAUGUCUGGCACACCUCAGAAGUGAUUGUUUUGGUUAUCUAUCUAUAACUAUCUCCAAAAAUUUGAGCUUUGAAACAAUAACCACUUUAUUAUGUCUUCAUGGUUCUGUGGGUUGACUGGGAGACUGUCGGCCAGCUGGGCAGAUCUUCUGUCAGCAAGAACUGCAGCCAUCUAGAGGUCGUCUGUCUAGUGCCCAGCUUUUGUCCCCAAAGCUCAGAAGCACAGUUGCCAAGCCUUCAUAAGGCUUAGGCUCAGAAUUGGGGUAUUUUCUUCUCUGCCACAUCCUAUUUAUUAACAUGACUCACAGAGCCAGUCCAGAUGCAUUGUGGGAGGACAGACUAUGCAAGGCCAUGAAUACUGGAGGCAUGGUUCACUGGCAGGUGUCUUUGGAAACCAACGGCUACAUUGAUCAAUAAAUGAUUUUUACAAUCAGAA